UACGUAGGUGACAAGCGUUGUCCGGAUUUACUGGGCGUAAAGAGCGCGCAGGCGGUCGUUCAAGUCGAGUGUGAAAGCCCCCGGCUCAACUGGGGAGGGUCACUCGAUACUGAUCGACUUGAAGGCAGGAGAGGGAAGCGGAAUUCCCGGUGUAGUGGUGAAAUGCGUAGAUAUCGGGAGGAACACCAGUGGCGAAGGCGGCUUCCUGGCCUGCUCUUGACGCUGAGGCGCGAAAGCUGGGGGAGCGAACGGG
rnacentral:rRNA from 1 species